rnacentral:lncRNA from 13 species
CUUUUCAAAGGAGAAAGUGAAAAAAUAAAACCAAGAAAUGAAGGGAAGAUUGAACUAUGAAAUCAACAUAGCAUUGUGAUCACCCAAAGCUGAUAUACCCAGAGUGAACAAUUUGCCUUGCUGCAGAAAAGUAGUCACAGACUUGUCUCAGCUAAACCAUGAAGCUACAGCAGUCCUCCCCUCUGGAAUAUGCAGCAACAAGGCAGGAUCUUGGAAUCAGAGACCAUGCCCAUCACUAGACACAGAACCUGCCAAUGCCUUGAUCUUGGACUUCCCAGCCUCCAGAACUGUGCCAGGCCCCACGGGAUAUAUUCAUAUUGUUAAUCAAGAUAUAUCACACUUUCCUGUUGAGACAGCCAGGUGGGAGGGGGUCCCUGGCAAAACUCCAACCAGCCGGCCCUGGGAACGCGCACUGGGGUGGAGCCACAGAAGCCUGGCCCCUCCUUUUCCUACGUGAACCUGGGAUUCAAACGCGAGGUGGGAAAUGCGGAAAUGCACCGGCAGGGACGGUGGCUUUGCUGAGAGUCCCUGUUCCACCACUUUUUUUUCCUUUUCAACCAAUAAAACCCUGCUUUAUUCACCCUUCAAACCGUCUGCAAGCCUAAACUUCUGUAGCUGUGGGGACAAGGACCCUGUCUUUAGCUGAGCUAACCUGCAACAAUGUUACAAAGCUAGAUGAGUUUGCCUCAUAGGGGAAGGAAUAUUCCUGGAAGUGGCAACAACUAUACGUGAAAGUAACUGUAAACACAUAAAUAUAUCCCCCUAACUCCACAGGAGUGUGUAGCUGGAGUCAGGGCCGCAUUCCCAGCUCUGAAGGCUAACGUCAGAUUAGCACAGAUUCGGCCAGGUGCCGUGACUCAUGCUUGUAAUCCCGACACUUUGG